CGGGGUGUAGCGCAGCCCGGUAGCGCGCGUCGUUCGGGACGACGAGGCCGCAGGUUCGAAUCCUGUCACCCCGACCA
rnacentral:tRNA from 1 species